CUACUCCCCAGUCAUCCUGUCCUAUGUUAACUCCUGUGCCAACCCUCUGCUCUAUGGCUUCCUGUCAGACAACUUCAGACAGAGCUUCAGAAAGGUUCUGUGCGUGCGGAAGGCCAACGGCGUGGAGGAUGGUGACCUCAGCGCCCCGAGGAUGGAGAAAACUAGAGAGACGACGAGAGACGACUCCUUCCUGUCGCCUAGGAACCACGAUGGACACAACGGACACACACCACAGAAUAGCCAGGCCGUCCAAUUGGAGCCUUGUGGUAGCCCAGGGGAGAAAACAAGGCCCUCAGGGCCCACUGUGAUUUGCCAGUCCUCGCUUUAAACUCUCCUGAUUGGCCGGUUUGAAGUCUCUCUCCCUCUCUUGUGUCUCUGUGUCUCUGUGUCUCUCUCUCACUCUCGCUCUCUCUCUCUCUCUCUCUC